rnacentral:rRNA from 1 species
UACGGGGGGGGCAAGCGUUGUUCGGAAUUACUGGGCGUAAAGGGCUCGUAGGUGGCCAACUAAGUCAGACGUGAAAUCCCUCGGCUUAACCGGGGAACUGCGUCUGAUACUGGAUGGCUUGAGUUUGGGAGAGGGACGCGGAAUUCCAGGUGUAGCGGUGAAAUGCGUAGAUAUCUGGAGGAAUACCGGUGGCGAAGGCGGCAUCCUGGACCGGCAUUGACGCUGAGGCGCGAAAGCCAGGGGAGCAAACGGG